UGAGGAAUAUUGGGCAAUGCCCGCAAGGGUGACCCAGCAACGCCGCGUGGAGGAUGAAUGUCGUAAGAUUGUAAACUCCUGUUAGAGGGGAAGAAUAGUACCGGUUGGACCGGUAUAUGACUGUACCCUCAGAGAAAGCCCCGGCUAACUACGUGCCAGCAGCCGCGGUAAUACGUAGGGGGCAAGCGUUGUCCGGAUUUACUAGGUGUAAAGGGCGCGCAGGCGGGAUAAAAAGUCAGUGGUGAAAUCCUACAGCUUAACUGUAGAACUGCCUUUGAUACUUUUAUUCUUGAGUUCGGGAGAGAGAGACGGAAUUCCAGGUGUAGUGGUGAAAUACGUAGAUAUCUGGAAGAACACCAGUUGCGAAGGCGGUCUCUUGGUCCGACACUGACGCUGAGGCGCGAAAGCGUGGGGAGCAAAC
rnacentral:rRNA from 1 species